rnacentral:misc_RNA from 1 species
GAUGAAGAACGCAGCGAAAUGCGAUAAGUAGUGUGAAUUGCAGAAUUCAGUGAAUCAUCGAAUCUUUGAACGCACAUUGCGCCCCCUGGUAUUCCGGGGGGCAUGCCUGUUCGAGCGUCAUUUCACCACUCAAGCCUCGCUUGGUAUUGGGCAAUGCGGUCCGCCGCCUGCCUCAAAUCGACCGGCUGGGUCUUCUGUCCCCUAAGCGUUGUGGAAACUAUUCGCUAAAGGGUGUUCGGGAGGCUACGCCGUAAAACAACCCCAUUUCUAAGGUUGACCUCGGAUCAGGUAGGGAUACCCGCUGAACUUAAGCAUAUCAAUAAGCGGAGGA